rnacentral:rRNA from 1 species
UACGUAGGCAGCAAGCGUUGUUCGGAAUUACUGGGCGUAAAGAGUGUGUAGGCGGUGUUCUAAGUUUGGUGUGAAAUCUCCCGGCUCAACUGGGAGGGUGCGCCGAAUACUGAAUGACUAGAGUGCGGGAGAGGAUAGUGGAAUUCCUGGUGUAGCGGUGAAAUGCGUAGAUAUCAGGAGGAACACCGGUGGUGUAGACGGCUAUCUGGACCGUAACUGACGCUGAGGCACGAAGGCGUGGGUAGCAAACAGG